AAUUUAACCAAAAACACAUAUACCGACUUACCGCUAAAAAAGACAACCACAACCUCGAAUCAAGCUGUUGGAGCAAAGCUCGUUGUUUCACCGCCUUCACCCACGCCACAGAUUUGUAGAAAGAAAAAUAACUUCCUUAACUACACCACUAUGCAAAUUAAAAAGAAAAGGAAAGUGACCCAAAACGAAUCUUCAAAACUUACCCAAAUAAAAGAGGAACCACCGGAAAACCACAUCGAAACAAUUGGCACAAUCGAUUUUCAAACGGAGUAGAGAGAAAAGACAAGAAGAAGAAAGAAAAGGGAGAGAAGAGCUAACGUCAGAAAUAUUUUUAAGAAAGGGAAAAUAAAAUAAAAUAAAAUAAAAUUAAAAUUGCACAUAAUCCCCACUCCCCCACUAACCACUAACCACUAACAACCUUAUCCCACCAAAUCAGACACACUAACCACAUCCAACUACCUCAGACUCUCAACUCCACCGAACUUCUAUCAGACAACCGAA
rnacentral:lncRNA from 1 species